rnacentral:tRNA from 2 species
GCGUCCAUCGUCUAAUGGAUAGGACAAAGGUCUUCUAAACCUUCAGUAUAGGUUCAAAUCCUAUUGGACGUA